rnacentral:rRNA from 1 species
UCUGNUCUGUCACUGACGCUGAGGCUNGAAAGCGUGGGUAGCGAACAGGAUUAGAUACCCUGGUAGUNCACGCCGUAAACGAUGAGUGCUAGGUGUUAGGCCCUUUCCGGGGCUUAGUGCCGGAGCUAACGCAAUAAGCACUCCGCCUGGGGAGUACGACCGCAAGGUUGAAACUCAAAGGAAUUGACGGGGGCCCGCACAAGCGGUGGAGCAUGUGGUUUAAUUCGAAGCAACGCGAAGAACCUUACCAGGUCUUGACAUCCCGAUGCUAUUCUUAGAGAUAGGAAGUUACUUCGGUACAUCGGAGACAGGUGGUGCAUGGUUGUCGUCAGCUCGUGUCGUGAGAUGUUGGGUUAAGUCCCGCAACGAGCGCAACCCUUAUUGUUAGUUGCCAUCAUUAAGUUGGGCACUCUAGCGAGACUGCCGGUAAUAAACCGGAGGAAGGUGGGGAUGACGUCAAAUCAUCAUGCCCCUUAUGACCUGGGCUACACACGUGCUACAAUGGUCGGUACAACGAGUUGCGAGCCGGUGACGGCAAGCUAAUCUCUGAAAGCCGAUCUCAGUUCGGAUUGGAGGCUGCAACUCGCCUCCAUGGAGUCGGAAUCGCUAGUAAUCGCGGAUCAGCACGCCGCGGUGAAUACGUUCCCGGGCCUUGUACACA